rnacentral:rRNA from 1 species
UACGAAGGGGGCUAGCGUUGCUCGGAAUCACUGGGCGUAAAGGGUGCGUAGGCGGAUCUUUAAGUCAGGGGUGAAAUCCUGGAGCUCAACUCCAGAACUGCCUUUGAUACUGAGGAUCUCGAGUUUCGGGAGAGGUGAGUGGAACUGCGAGUGUAGAGGUGAAAUUCGUAGAUAUUCGCAAGAACACCAGUGGCGAAGGCGGCUCACUGGCCCGAUACUGACGCUGAGGCACGAAAGCGUGGGGAGCAAACAGG